rnacentral:piRNA from 1 species
UUGUGAAAUUGGCUAUUUAUGGCAUGC